rnacentral:lncRNA from 1 species
AGUGCACCCAACUGGCGGAACCACUUAGCGUAAUUAGGAAAUCCUUAAGCAAGAGUUUGCAAAGCAUUGGCUAACCCUCAGGGUUUGCGUCCCCUCCACCCUCCCUUUUUCGGGCAUUCAACACUAAAAGUCAGACCUUGAAUAAUUAUCUACCCACAAGCUUUCAGCACCAGGAACGGAGAGGUUGCCUCAGUCUCUGUGAGUGUGGGGGACAGUUCUCUGGUGCUCUGACUGCCUGUGACAAUA